rnacentral:rRNA from 1 species
UACAGAGGUCUCAAGCGUUGUUCGGAUUCAUUGGGCGUAAAGGGUGCGUAGGCGGCGCGGGUAAGUCGGGUGUGAAAUCUCGGAGCUUAACUCCGAAACUGCAUUCGAUACUGCCGUGCUUGAGGACUGGAGAGGAGACUGGAAUUUACGGUGUAGCGGUGAAAUGCGUAGAUAUCGUAAGGAAGACCAGUGGCGAAGGCGGGUCUCUGGACAGUUCCUGACGCUGAGGCACGAAAGCGUGGGGAGCAAACAGG